rnacentral:rRNA from 1 species
GUGGGGAAUUUUGGACAAUGGGGGCAACCCUGAUCCAGCCAUGCCGCGUGCGGGAAGAAGGCCUUCGGGUUGUAAACCGCUUUUGUCAGGGAAGAAAUCCUUUGGGUUAAUACCUCGGAGGGAUGACGGUACCUGAAGAAUAAGCACCGGCUAACUACGUGCCAGCAGCCGCGGUAAUACGUAGGGUGCGAGCGUUAAUCGGAAUUACUGGGCGUAAAGCGUGCGCAGGCGGUUUUGUAAGAUCGAUGUGAAAUCCCCGGGCUCAACCUGAGAACUGCAUUGGUGACUGCAAGGCUGGAGUGCGGCAGAGGGGGAUGGAAUUCCGCGUGUAGCAGUGAAAUGCGUAGAUAUGCGGAGGAACACCGAUGGCGAAGGCAAUCCCCUGGGCCUGCACUGACGCUCAUGCACGAAAGCGUGGGGAGCAAACAGGAUUAGAAACCCGGGUAGUCC